rnacentral:piRNA from 1 species
UACAGGAAAAGUGCCCAGAUGCCUGGAGCCUU